CCUACGGGUGGCAGCAGUGGGGAAUAUUGGGCAAUGGGCGCAAGCCUGACCCAGCAACGCCGCGUGAAGGAAGAAGGCUUUCGGGUUGUAAACUUCUUUUCUCAGGGACGAAGCGAGUGACGGUACCUGAGGAAUGAGCCACGGCUAACUACGUGCCAGCAGCCGCGGUAAUACGUAGGUGGCAAGCGUUAUCCGGAUUUGCUGGGUGUAAAGGGCGUGUAGGCGGGGAUGCAAGUCAGAUGUGAAAACCACGGGCUCAACCCGUGGCCUGCAUUUGAAACUGGGUUUCUUGAGUACUGGAGAGGCAUGCGGAAUUCCUGGUGUAGCGGUGAAAUGCGUAGAUAUUAGGAGGAACACCAGUGGCGAAGGCGGCCUGCUGGACAGCAACUGACGCUGAGGCGCGAAAGCGUGGGGAGCAAACAGGAUUAGAUACCCGGGUAGUC
rnacentral:rRNA from 1 species